AACGAACGCUGGCGGCGUGCCUAACACAUGCAAGUCGUGCGAGAAAGUUCCUUCGGGAGCGAGUAAAGCGGCGCACGGGUGAGUAACACGUAGGUAACCUGCCCCCCAGUCUGGAACAACUAGAGGAAACUCUAGCUAAUGCCGGAUGAGACCACGAUCCCUUCGGGGGUUGCGGCCAAAGAUGGCCUCUACUUGUAAGCUAUCGCUGAGGGAUGGGCCUGCGGGCCAUUAGCUUGUUGGUGAGGUAACGGCUCACCAAGGCUGUGAUGGCUAGCUGGUCUGAGAGGAUGACCAGCCACACUGGGACUGAGACACGGCCCAGACUCCUACGGGAGCAGCAGUGGGAAUAUUGCGCAAUGGGACGAAAGCCUGACGCAGCGACGCCGCGUGGGUGAUGAAGGCC
rnacentral:rRNA from 1 species